ensembl:lncRNA
GGCCGUUUAACGGUCGUCGCGCGAGGCGGCCCCGGCCGGUAGCGGCUGCGGUUGCUCCCUGAGGCGGGGCGGGGCUUGGCGGAACGCGGCUAGCGGGACGGAGUCAGCAGACAUUGGGAAAUGUGAGGCAAAAGGAAUGUGAGUGGAUGCAGCUUCAGUUGGUUCUGAUGAUUCUGAUUCAAAGUGUUCAAAACUCUUUGGAAAGUGUUGCAGGAGUCACAGCAUUACUUUCUUCAAACUGAACCUCUGCAAACUCUUCAGGCAUGUCAGGGUUAAGUACACUGACCUGGAGCUGCUCCUCACUUGCCUUGGCCUGACUAUGCAGGGAGGAUCAUCAAAGGAAAGUUGCAACUCUUCUUAACCAUUCAGAAUUUCUUUUUGUUGGAACUGAAAAGACACAAGUGAUGUCCCAGCAUCAAAACCAGGGGUAGGAA